CGGGAAGCCAGGCGGCGACGCCGAGCGGAACCCGAAAAGGCGCCUCAGUUCGGAUUGGAGUCUGCAACCCGACUCCAUGAAGCUGGAUUCGCUAGUAAUCGCGCAUCAGCCACGGCGCGGUGAAUACGUUCCCGGGCCUUGUACACACCGCCCGUCAAGCCAUGGGAGCCGGGAGUGCCUGAAGUGCGCGGCCGCGAGGAGCGCCCUAGGGCAAGACUGGUGACUGGGGCUAAGUCGUAACAAGGUAUC
rnacentral:rRNA from 1 species